UUUUGUACAAUAAGAGAUGAGGUGUAAAGGUGUCUCGUGUUGAACAGAUGUACAGCUUAAUUAUUAUUGAGUGAGUGCUCAGAGAAGGUGAAAAGCCUGUUUGGUUGUGUCAAUCUGUUUAACCGAGAUACUGACGAGUCUAGUUGUUUGAGAGUACAACUUAAAGUUGGUGGUAAAUUUCAUCAAAGGCUAAAUAUAUGAGGGGACUAAUAGCGAACAAGUACCAUGAGGGAAAGUUGAAAAGAACUCUGACGAGAGAGUCAAACAGUACGUGAAACCAUAUUGAGUAAAACAGAUAACUGUGUUGUUAUGUGGUGUGCCUAUCAACAGCGUAUUUGGCGUUGUGAUGCUACGAGUGUAAGCUGUUUAUUCAGCCGAUUGCUCGUGGUUAGCAUAGUCAGAGCUUCUGUGUACUAGUGCGCACUCAAUCAUUGAGAAACUAUGCUGUUGCGGCAUCGGUGUGUAUCAGUCCGUACCUAGUGCGAAGUUACAUACUGGGCUCUGCGAACGGCGUAGUGUAGCUGUGUGACAGCUGUGAGAUGCGUUUACUGAAUGUGCCUGCUUUGUCUGCGAAUCGGUUUAUUCCUUUUUGCGGUGAGUAUGGUGCAGUAGGUAAGUGUCUCGCCAUCAAUGUUAACAUUAGUUAUUUGACCCGUCUUGAAACACGGACCAAGGAGUUCAAAUGGCACGCGAGUCAUUGGGUUUUAACACCCGAAGGCGAAGUGAAAUGCAAACGUAUUGUUAUUUGUGGUUGUUCCAUGAUUAAGCGAUAAGCUACUCAUGCUUUCUGGCAUUUGUAGACUAAAAGCGUGAUGUUUGAGACCCGAAAGAUGGUGACCUAUGCCUAGUCAAGAUGAAGCCAGAGGAAACUCUGGUGGAUGUCUGAAGUUAUUCUGACGUGCAAAUCGAUAAUCUGAUCUGGGUAUAGGGGCGAAAGACUAAUCGAACCAUCUAGUAGCUGGUUCCUUCCGAAGUUUCCCUCAGGAUAGCAAGCGUACAUUUUUAGUUUCAUCCCGUAAAGCGAAUGAUUAGAGGCAUUGGGGCGUAUAUAGCCUCAACCUAUUCUCAAACUUUUAAUGGGUGUGAGUGUUCUUUCUUAAUUGAAGAACGCUGUUAAAUAAGUAUGCUUAGUGGGCCAUUUUUGGUAAGCAGAACUGGCGCUGUGGGUUGAACCAAAUGUUGAGUUAAAGUGCCUAAAGCUGGAAUGCGCAUGAGAUCUGUAAAGGGUGUUAGUUGCUGAAGACAGCAGG
rnacentral:rRNA from 1 species